rnacentral:rRNA from 1 species
UACGUAGGGCGCAAGCGUUGUCCGGAAUUAUUGGGCGUAAAGAGCUCGUAGGUGGCCAGGUAGGUCUGCUGUGAAAACUCGAGGCUCAACCUCGAGACGUCGGCGGAAACCAUCUGGCUAGAGUCCGGAAGAGGAGAGUGGAAUUCCGGUGUGAGCGGUGAAAUGCGCAGAUAUCAGGAAGAACACCCGUGGCGAAGGCGGCUCUCUGGAACGCAACUGACGCUGAGACGCGAAAGCGUGGGGAGCAAACAGG